CGCAGCCGCGGUAAUUCCAGCUCCAAUAGCGUAUAUUAAAGUUGUUGCAGUUAAAAAGCUCGUAGUUGAAUUUCGGGAUCAAUACGUCGGUCGUGCUUCGGUACGUACUGGCGUAAUUGAUUUCUCCCUUCUGACGAACCAUGAUGUCAUUAACUUGGUGUCAUGGGAAAUCAGGACCGUUACUUUGAAAAAAUUAGAGUGUUUAAAGCAGGCUCACGCUUGAAUACAUUAGCAUGGAAUAAUGAAAUAGGACGUUCGAUCCUAUUUUGUUGGUUUUUAGGAUCAACGUAAUGAUUAAUAGGGAUAGUUGGGGGCAUUAGUAUUCAAUUGUCAGAGGUGAAAUUCUUGGAUUUAUUGAAGACUAACUACUGCGAAAGCAUUUGCCAAGGAUGUUUUCAUUAAUCAAGAACGAAAGUUAGGGGAUCGAAGACGAUCAGAUACCGUCGUAGUCUUAACCAUAAA
rnacentral:rRNA from 1 species